GACGAACGCUGGCGGCGUGCUUAACACAUGCAAGUCGAACGGUGAAGCGCCUUCCUUUUUGGUGGGUGUGGAUGAGUGGCGAACGGGUGAGUAACACGUGAGUAACCUGCCCCCUUCUUCUGGAUAACCGCAUGAAAGUGUGGCUAAUACGGGAUAUUCUGGGUCUGUCGCAUGAUGGGUCUGGGAAAGAUAUUGUUUCGGUGGGGGAUGGGCUCGCGGCCUAUCAGCUUGUUGGUGGGGUGAUGGCCUACCAAGGCGGUGACGGGUAGCCGGCCUGAGAGGGUGGACGGUCACACUGGGACUGAGACACGGACCAGACUCCUACGGGAGGCAGCAGGGGGGAAUAUUGCACAAUGGGCGCAAGCCUGAUGCAGCGACGCCGCGUGAGGGAUGGAGGCCUGCGGGUUGUGAACCUCUUUCGCCAGUGAAGCAGGCCUGCCUCGUUUGUGGGUGGGUUGACGGUAGCUGGAGAAGAAGCGCCGGCUAACUACGUG
rnacentral:rRNA from 1 species